UACGAAGGGGGCUAGCGUUGCUCGGAAUCAGCUGGGCGUAAAGGGUGCGUAGGCGGGUCUUUAAGUCAAGGGGUGAAAGUCCUCGGAGCUCAACUCCAGAACUGCCUUUGAUACUGGAAGAUCUUGAGUUCGGGAGAGGUGAGUGGAACUGCGAGUGUAGAGGUGAAAUUCGUAGAUAUUCGCAAGAACACCAGUGGCGA
rnacentral:rRNA from 1 species